GAUGAAGUCACAGUAGGCACUACGUUUCUGUUGUACAGAUAGAUGACUUGCUUUCGUUUUAUUAGUUAAAACAUACAAUACAAACAAUCCUAAGCGGUAGCUCUCAUAACUAUAGCCUCCAAAUUUGACACUUGUCAAUUCAGUGUUCAUGCUAGGAGUAGUUCUGUGACAUGGUAUAUU